CCCUUUAUAUAGAUUUUCACAAAACAGAGGCUACUCGGCGAGUCCAGUGACCUACUCGGCGAGUCCGUCACUUAAAACCCGUGUACGGCAAGUCAGCGCGUCCAGAAUCGCGAAAGUUCGAUACAACUCGCCGAGUAAUCGACCCUACUCGCCGAGUACGUUUCGAAUCAGCAUUUUCUCAAAACACGAAAGUCGUCCGAAAUUGUGUCUACUUUUCAGAACAUUUUGAAUCUCGUCAAUCGGAGUUACGGUUCAUGAGAUAUGGCCAAAACACUGACGAGGGGUCAAGCUGUCCAACAACAUCCUUCUUUCUUCAAAAUCCAAGAUCCAAGCCUCCAAUUGCUAGUUCCGCUUCAUUUUCCACCCGAGCAUGUAAUUGUUGCUGAAAAAUGAAAUUAUAAACUAAUUAAGCACCUUUUGUUCAUUAAAUGAGACAAAAACAACAUAAAGUAUUAAGAUAAUGCAUGAAUUUUAUAACUAAAUAUGCCCAUAUCAAAAUACCCCACACUUGACUUUUGCUUGCCCCCAAGCAAAACUGAAUUUUAGUACACUAAUAUUACAUAAGACAAUCCCAAUCGAACCCAUCCAUUAUGCCAAGACCGCAACGCAUGCAUUUGUGUCUAAAAUUUUCCUAAUAACCCCCCAUACUCCAAAUACUCACAAUCCUCAUAAACAUUCGCCCACUUUUUCCGAACAAUGCUCAUUUUAUGCAUCCCUCCGAAUCCAUCCUCAGAAAACCUCUUAACCUCAAGGUAUUUUUGGUUGAGCAACCCAAGCAUACAUAAUCUAGACAAUUACAAUUUAUGAUACCACAUUGGAGCUCUUUGGAAUUCUUCACUUCUUUGACAUUUGAUCUUUAAUUUCUUUGAAUUCACCACCUUGUUGUUUGAUUUUUGGUAUCUUCAACUUUUUGAAUCUUCGGAAUUUUGAUCUUUUGAUUUCAUAUUUUAACUUUGAUGCUCCAAAAAUUCUUCAACUUUUCUUGUAAUUCUCUCUCUCUUUUUUUAACAUGUAACUCACUUUUUUCACUCAAUAAACCUACAUGCUUAAGCAGGGGCGCUCAACUUCAACCUUUAUUGGUUAACGAUAAUAAUUUUCCUGGAUACAUUUCUGGUACACGAUGCUAAACAUAUUGCAUCCUUCAAACUAAGCGAGGUCGUGUUUUUGUCCCAUGAUUUCACUAGAAUAAGGAAGCCACAAAUGCACUAGAACGUAUAUAGGCUCAACUAAACAUUUGGGUCUUCAUGCAAUCAUCAAAUAUAAUACUAGCAUGAUCCCUAAUUGCUUUACCAAAAUUUUCUAAAUUAGCCCUAGCAAUUUUAAUGCAAAAAUUUCAAAAAUAACUAAAAUUUCAAGAUUUUCGAAUUUUAACUAAAAUUUUAACUAAUUUAACCAACCCCCUACCCCACACUUAAUUUAUGCAAUGUCCCCAUUGCAUAUUAUGCAUGAUAAAGAACAAUAAAAUAAAGAGGGAAUUGGAACAAACUCCCCUGGGAUAGUAGUCGCGAGGUUAAUCUUCUUCAUGUAAAGCUCCAACUUCAGCUGACUUUGGCAUGGGAACAGCGCAUCCAUGCCUUGGGCGUCAAAUCUCGUGUGGUUGACAACUCUCAAUAUGUGGGAAAAAGCAUCUUGGAAACGCUCGGAAAAUGAUCUUCAAAAAUAUAGACAAUGCCAGCGUCGAAUGGAAUCAAAUCGUCAACUCAAAUAUAAAAAGAAUGAGUAACUCGCCGAGUUUUAUGUGGAGACUCGCUGAGUUGAAUCGCUAUACUCGCAGAACUCGUGAUUUUUUGCUUGGACUCGUCGAGUUAGUAUUAUGCACUCAACGAGUUCUUGACUCUGAUCAGGUCUUUUCUUCUUUCUGCUUCAGCUUUAAUUUUGUGUUCAAGGAGAGUAUCAAGGUAAUACAACUCCUCAUUUUCUUCAGGGACGAGACUCUUUUUAAUCAAAUAUAAACAUCGGACUCAACAUAUCGCUCAAAAUCUUCUAAUCUUCUCGUAAACGACUCGACCGCUCACUUUAAUUCCCUCACGCUUUAAGAAUUCGCUCUAAUAUCACCCUAGCUUCUGAAAAGAUCAAAAACAAAUACCAAGUAAUAAUAAAAAUAAAUCAAAAUAAAAAUCCUAAAUUAUCCCUAAAUACUAGAAGUUUAAAAAGAAAAAGAAAAGCAAACUCUAAUGACGGGUUGCCUCCCGCAAGCGCUUCUUUUUGUGCGAGUCUUUAGCUGGACUCCCAACUUAAUAAACUUCCAAUAAACUCAAUGCCAAUCCAUCCGUUGCAUUGAAUAUUUUCUUUGGACCAAUUUGUAAAAUUUGGCUCUUUUCUUCUAAAAUUGGCCAAACAAGCUUGAAUUCAUAAAACCCAAGAAUCUUGACAAGGGUUGGAACCGGUUGGAUACUAAUCAAAAACGGAUCGUGCCUCAGAACUUUCUCCAAAGUUGGAGUCGUCACCCCACGCUUCGAAACACAAACUGAAAAUACAGGGGGCCAUGUCGUGGUAAUGGUCAAACCACAGCUUGGUUCCUGCAAUUCAGCUUGUUCUUGUUCUUCGUCUGACCUCUCUGCUAGCAACCUUUGCAGCUCCUCCAAGUCUCUUUCUGGAUUAAAUUCAUCAUCUUGUAAAUCUAGCUCUUGUGACUCAGAUUGUUCUUGAUCGUUAGACAAGAUGAUAUCUAACCAUCUAUCAAAUUUCUUCAAAUCUUCAUCCGAGUCAUAAUCCUCAUCUUCCUGCACUACUUCCUCAAGAAAAGCAUCAAAAGCAUCGAGAUUUGGAAAAUACAUAAUAAAUAAAAAAGAUAAAAAUUAAACUAAAUAAAAAAAUAAUCAAUAAAAUAAAACCGAUAACAAUUAGCAAAUAAAAUUAACUAUUUGAACCGUUCCCCGGCAACGGCGCCAAAAACUUGAUGUGUGUAAAACCAACUAGUUUUAAUCCUACUAACUUAGACACAAAAUAAACACACGAAAGGCAGUGUACCUAUCGAUUAGUAAUAUAGUUCAAGCAAGUAGGGUAUCGAACACAGGGAACGGUAAACAAUUAAAAUAAAUGCUAAUAUUAUCUAAAUAAAACAAAUAACAAAAAGGGGGUUUUCUCUAGUUUUACAAGACUAGAAACUUAAUUAGAAUAACCAACACACAAAUUAACUAACUAGCAACUAAAACAAUUAAUUACCAACUAAAUUCAAUAGUAAAGAGGACUUCUGUUUAGGUACGACUCAUUUGUUCCCAUGGAUGAUUUUAAUGUAUCAGAUUAAUUCUUCAUUGGCUACCGAUUAAGAUAAUUAGGUUCACGUUCGCUAUUCCUAAUUCUUAGAAAACAAAUUAACUCAAGCAAUGGCCAGUUGUCUAAAUUAACGGGUUUCCUAGAUUAUUGAUUCGGGUUAAGUAAGACUUGUAAUGGUUAAUUAAAUUGACCCUUCAAUUAACCUAUUGCUGAUGUUCAUCAAACAAUCUCACACAUUAACUUACCUAUCUUCUAGUUAAUUCUAGUUUCACAUUCGUUAUUCCUAGACAUACAACUAUGUGGUCACAAUAAAUCAUAUGAAAUUAAUAACUAAGAGAUGUUCAUACAACUUAAUUACUGAUUUAUUAACAGAAGAAUAGUUAUUGUCAACACAUAAGGUUCUUUAACAAGCUUAACAAAACAUAAUUACCAAUUAAAAUUAAUCCUACUCAAAUAAUCAAUCCAUGUUCACAAAAUUGUCUACCCUAACAGAAGAAUAAGUUUUUAGCUCAUGAUUGCAGUAAACAUAAACUCAAAAACGAAAUCAAAGUAUGUAAACAUGAUUCAAAUCAAAAAGUUACUAAGAAUAAACCAAAAUUGUCUUGAUUCUCUUCACAAUUGAAUGUAGGGUUGAUUCUUUAGUUCCUCACGACCUAGCAGCACUUCCAAUCGUUUCUCAGCUUCCUAGGGUUUCUCUCCAUCCUCGGUUAUCGAUCUGAAAGUCCCUUUAUAUAGAUUUUCACAAAACAGAGGCUACUCGGCGAUUCCAGUGACCUACUCAGCGAGUCCGUCACUUAAAACCCGUGUACGGCAAGUCAGCGCGUCCCGAAUCGUGAAAGUUCGAUACAACUCGCCGAGUAAUCGACCCUACUCGCCGAGUACGUUUCGAAUCAGCAUUUUCUCAAAACACGAAAGUCGUCCGAAAUUGUGUCUACUUUUCAGAACAUUUUGAAUCUCGUCAAUCGGAGUUACGGUUCAUGAGAUAUGGCCAAAACACUGACGAGGGGUCAAGCUGUCCAGCAACAUCCUUCUUUCUUCAAAAUCCAAGAUCCAAGCUUCCAAUUGCUAGUUCCACUUCCUUUUCCAUCCGAGCAUGUCUUUGUUACUGAAAAUGAAAUAUUUAAGCUAAUUAAGCACCUUUGGUUCAUUAAAUGAGACAAAAACAACAUAAAGUAUUAAGAUAAUGCAUGAAUUAUAUGACUAAAUAUGCUCAUAUCAGUCCACCUCUCACCCUUACCUCAUGGUCUAUAUCACCUCUCAACUCAUCAUCCAACUCAUAUUUCAUCUACCCAUGUUUUACCCAACAUUUAUGUACAUAUAAAUACAUAUACAGUUUAA
rnacentral:lncRNA from 1 species